UGAAGAGAAAAUAGAAUUCCAUUGUUAUUAUUCAACCAAAAUCUUGCAUUCUGUCUUCUCUUUAGU
rnacentral:pre_miRNA from 1 species